UACGGGGGGCAAGCGUUGUUCGGAAUUACUGGGCGUAAAGGGCUCGUAGGCGGCCAACUAAGUCGGAUGUGAAAUCCCCAGGCUCAACCUGGGAACUGCAUCCGAUACUGGAUGGCUUGAAUUCGGGAGAGGGAUGCAGAAUUCCAGGUGUAGCGGUGAAAUGCGUAGAUAUCUGGAGGAAUACCGGUGGCGAAGGCGGCAUCCUGGACCGACAUUGACGCUGAGGAGCGAAAGCUAGGGGAGCAAACGGG
rnacentral:rRNA from 1 species